rnacentral:rRNA from 1 species
GAGUUUGAUUCUGGCUCAGGAUGAACGCUGGCGGCGUGCCUAACACAUGCAAGUCGAGCGAGAAGUUAAUAACCGACACUUCGGUAGAGGUAAUUAAUGGAAAGCGGCGGACGGGUGAGUAACGCGUAGGCAACCUGCCCUUUGCAGAGGGAUAGCCACUGGAAACGGUGAUUAAUACCUCAUAAAGCCGGAGGUUCACAUGAGAAACCGGCCAAAGAUUUAUCGGCAAAGGAUGGGCCUGCGUCUGAUUAGUUAGUUGGUGAGGUAACGGCUCACCAAGGCGACGAUCAGUAGCCGACCUGAGAGGGUAAUCGGCCACAUUGGAACUGAGACACGGUCCAAACUCCUACGGGAGGCAGCAGUGAGGAAUAUUGCACAAUGGGGGGAACCCUGAUGCAGCAACGCCGUGUGAACGAAGAAGGCCUUAGGGUCGUAAAGUUCUGUCCUAAGGGAAGAAGAAAGUGACGUACCUAGGAGGAGCCCCG